UGGGGAAUUUUGGACAAUGGGCGCAAGCCUGAUCCAGCCAUGCCGCGUGCGGGAAGAAGGCCUUCGGGUUGUAAACCGCUUUUGUCAGGGAAGAAAUCUUCUGAGUUAAUACCUCGGGAGGAUGACGGUACCUGAAGAAUAAGCACCGGCUAACUACGUGCCAGCAGCCGCGGUAAUACGUAGGGUGCAAGCGUUAAUCGGAAUUACUGGGCGUAAAGCGUGCGCAGGCGGUUUUGUAAGACAGAGGUGAAAUCCCCGGGCUCAACCUGGGAACUGUCUUUGUGACUGCAAGGCUUGAGUGCGGCAGAGGGGGGAUGGAAUUCCGCGUGUAGCAGUGAAAUGCGUGGAUAUGCGGAGGAACACCGAUGGCGAAGGCAAUCCCCUGGGCCUGCACUGACGCUCAUGCACGAAAAGCGUGGGGGAGCAAACAGGAUUAGAUACCCCUGGUAGUCCACGCCCCUAAAACGAUGUCAACUGGUUGUUGGGGAAAGGUUCCUUCUCAGUAAACGUAGCUAAACGCGUGAAGUUGGACCGCCUGGGGGAGUACGGCCGCAA
rnacentral:rRNA from 1 species